UCCUCCCUGGUGUAGUGGUUAACACUUUCACCUUCACCUUCUCCUGGUAUGAAGUUGGGAAGUCUGGUGUUCGAAUCCCCUUGGUGGAU